AGAGUUGAUCCUUGGCUCAGAAUGAACGCUGGCGGCGUGCAUAACACAUGCAAGUCGAACGAGAAAUCUCGCUUCGGCGGGAAGAGUAAAGUGGCGCACGGGUGAGUAACGCGUGGGUAACCUGCCCCCGAGUCCGGGAUAACUUCGCGAAAGCGGCGCUAAUACCGGAUAGCGUCCCAGGGACCGUGGUCCCUGGGAUGAAAGAUGACCUCUCCAUGGAAGUUGUCGUUCGGGGAGGGGCUCGCGUACCAUUAGCUUGUUGGUGGGGUAACGGCCUACCAAGGCGACGAUGGUUAGCUGGUCUGAGAGGAUGAUCAGCCACACUGGCACUGAAACACGGGCCAGACUCCUACGGGAGGCAGCAGUGAGGAAUUUUGCGCAAUGGGGGAAACCCUGACGCAGCAACGCCGCGUGAGUGAAGAAGGCCUUCGGGUCGUAAAGCUCUGUCAAGUGGGAAAAACGUCUGCCGAUGAACAGUCGUCAGGCCUGAUGGUACCACUGGAGGAAGCACCGGCUAACUCCGUGCCAGCAGCCGCGGUAAUACGGAGGGUGCUAGCGUUGUUCGGAAUUACUGGGCGUAAAGAGCGUGUAGGCGGCAAGGUAAGUCAGGCGUGAAAGCCCUGGGCUUAACCCAGGAAGUGCGUUUGAAACUGCCUCGCUUGAGUAUGGGAGAGGAGGGUGGAAUUCCCGGUGUAGAGGUGAAAUUCGUAGAUAUCGGGAGGAACACCCGUGGCGAAGGCGACUCUCUGGACCAAUACUGACGCUGAGACGCGAAAGCGUGGGGAGCAAACAGGAUUAGAUACCCUGGUAGUCCACGCCGUAGACGAUGAGCACUAGGUGUAGCGGGUAUUGACCCCUGCUGUGCCGUAGCUAACGCAUUAAGUGCUCCGCCUGGGGAGUACGGGCGCAAGGCUAAAACUCGACAGGACUUGACGGGGGCCCGCACAAGCGGUGGAGCAUGUGGGUUUAAUUCGACGC
rnacentral:rRNA from 1 species